UCUAGUAUGGCAGAAUAGUGCAAUGAACUUAAGAUUCAUAUAUGAGAAUAUACUCUACUAGAA
rnacentral:tRNA from 1 species